rnacentral:tRNA from 3 species
GGUGAGGUGUCCGAGUGGCUGAAGGGGCACGCCUGGAAAGUGUGUAUACGGCAACGUAUCGGGGGUUCGAAUCCCCCCCUCACCGCCA